rnacentral:rRNA from 1 species
CUCUGCGACGCAGCUAACGCAUUAAGUGCCCCGCCUGGGGAGUACGAUCGCAAGAUUAAGACUCAAAGGAAUUGACGGGGCCCCGCACAAGCAGCGGAGCAUGCGGCUUAAUUCGACGCAACGCGAAGAACCUUACCAAGGCUUGACAUAUACAGGAAUAUGGCAGAGAUGUCAUAGCCGCAAGGUCUGUAUACAGGUGGUGCAUGGUUGUCGUCAGCUCGUGUCGUGAGAUGUUGGGUUAAGUCCCGCAACGAGCGCAACCCUCGUUCUGUGUUGCCAGCAUUUAGUUGGGGACUCACAGGAGACUGCCGGGGUUAACUCGGAGGAAGGUGGGGAUGACGUCAAAUCAUCAUGCCCCUUAUGUCUUGGGCUGCACGCAUGCUACAAUGGCUGGUACAAACGGCUGCAAUACCGCAAGGUGGAGCGAAUCCGAGAAAGCCAGUCUCAGUUCGGAUUGGGGUCUGCAACUCGACCCCAUGAAGUCGGAGUUGCUAGUAAUCGUAGAUCAGCAACGCUACGGUGAAUACGUUCCCGGGGCUUGUACACACCGCCCGUCACGUCACGA